AUUUUGGUUUUUCUCCAACAAAUUGCAGACUCCAAUACCCCGUCAAAGAAGAAGAUUAUUUUCAUAUUUGGGCAACGACAUGUUCGUUCGUGGAGAUUUCAUCGAGAUAGAUUGAACACUCAACACUUAAAUCUGAGUGCGCCAUGACGAAGAAGCUCGAUAGUCAUUACCCCGCCGAACAACUUUUAAUAGACGAAAUCAAAGAGGUGAAUCGGAAGGUUCUCUUUUGAUGUGGGAAAGACGUGAUUUCUUGUUUCAGGGAAACUUCACUCAUUUUGAUGAUAAAGCAAACUUUGUUCAGCAAGAGAAUGCAGAAAUGCAACUUGUUGUCGAAUUAAUGGUCAUCACAAAAGAAGGAUUUUGAUGGCAAGAGAUUUGAAUUGUCAAGAUUGAGCUUCCAAGGUGUGAAUAGAGUAAAGAUGCUAUUCUGUACUCUACUGUCGAUGUGUUUUAGGCAAAUCAACAAAUAAAAUUGUUAUUCAGCUAUAUUCAGUCAUUAAUAUUCUUUCAUAAUAGA